rnacentral:rRNA from 1 species
UACAGAGGGUGCGAGCGUUAAUCGGAAUUACUGGGCGUAAAGCGCGCGUAGGCGGCUUUGCAAGUCGGGUGUGAAAUCCCCAGGCUUAACCUGGGAACUGCAUUCGUGACUGCAUUGCUAGAGUAUGGGAGAGGGAAGUGGAAUUUCCGGUGUAGCGGUGAAAUGCGUAGAUAUCGGAAGGAACAUCAGUGGCGAAAGCGACUUCCUGGACCAAUACUGACGCUCAUGUGCGAAAGCGUGGGGAGCAAACAGG